UACGUAGGGGGCAAGCGUUGUCCGGAUUUAUUGGGCGUAAAGAGCGUGUAGGCGGCCACACAGGUCUGCUGUGAAAACUCGAGGCUCAACCUCGAGCUGUCGGUGGAAACCGUGUGGCUAGAGUCCGGAAGAGGAGAGUGGAAUUCCCGGUGUAGCGGUGAAAUGCGCAGAUAUCGGGAAGAACACCCGUGGCGAAGGCGGCUCUCUGGGACGGUACUGACGCUGAGACGCGAAAGCGUGGGGAGGGAACAGG
rnacentral:rRNA from 1 species